CCCAGCAGCCAUAUCGCCCUGCAGCUCACAGCUGGCAGCCCACUGGAGCUCAGCAGGUGGGAGCCUGGCCAGUACCUGGAUGGGAGACCUCCUGGGAAACACUAAGGUUGCUGCAGGAA
rnacentral:rRNA from 1 species